AUUGAACGCUGGCGGCGUGCUUAACACAUGCAAGUCGAGCGGUAACAGGCGUAGCAAUACGUGCUGACGAGCGGCGAACGGGUGCGUAAUACAUGGGAAUCUGCCCUUUAGUGGGGAAUAACCCGGCGAAAGCCGGGCUAAUGCCGCAUGAGAUCUUCGGAUGAAAGCGGGGGGAUCGUAAGACCUCGCGCUGAUGGAUGAGCCCAUGUCGGAUUAGCAGUUGGUGAGGUAACGGCUCACCAAGGCGACGAUCCGUAGCUGGGUCUGAGAGGACGGCCAGCCACACUGGGACUGAGACACGGGCCCAGACUCCUACGGGAGGCAGCAGUGGGGAAUAUUGGACAAGUGGGGGAAACCCUGAUCCA
rnacentral:rRNA from 1 species